UUGAUGGAGAGUUUGAUCCUGGCUCAGGACGAACGCUGGCGGCGUGCCUAACACAUGCAAGUCGAGCGGGGUAGCGGGUGCAGUUUAGCUGUGCUUGUUACCUAGCGGCGGACGGGUGAGUAACACGUGAGCAACCUACCCGGAAGACCGGGAUAACACUGGGAAACUGGUGCUAAUACCGGAUACACUUCUACUGGGGCAUCCUGGUAGAAGGAAAGGGGGCCUCUGGGGUUUAGGCUCUAAGCUCCCGCUUCCGGUUGGGCUCGCGGCCCAUUCGCUUGUUGGUGGGGUAACGGCCUUCCAAGGCGACGAUGGGUAGCUGGC
rnacentral:rRNA from 1 species